GAUGAAGAACGUAGCGAAACGCGAUAAGUAGUGUGAAUUGCAGAAUUCAGUGAAUCAUCGAAUCUUUGAACGCACAUUGCGCCUUCUAGUAUUCUGGGAGGCAUGCCUGUUUGAGCGUCAUUAAACCUCUCUCAAGUAUGAUUACUUGGAUGUGAAGGAAGAGUACCUUAAACUUAAGGAGUGUUCUCCUUUGAAAUUGAUUAGCAGAUGGUAAUGUUAUUAAAUCCCUGAUGUUGUAAGAAAUAACAGUGGUUUUGUAGACUAUUAUCUAGCUUUAAAUUAUAAUUUUUAUUAUGGUUGACCUCAAAUCAGGUAAGGAUACCCGCUGAACUUAAGCAUAUCAAUAAGCGGAGGA
rnacentral:misc_RNA from 1 species